rnacentral:rRNA from 1 species
AUUGAACGCUAGCGGGAUGCUUUACACAUGCAAGUCGAACGAGUGGCGGACGGGUGAGUAAUAUAUCGGAACGUGCCCAGUAGCGGGGGAUAACUACUCCAAAGAGUGGCUAAUACCGCAUACUAUUGUAGCGGCCGAUAUCGGAUUAGCUAGUUGGGGGGGUAAAGGCGCACCAGGGCAACGAUCCGUAGCUGGUUUGCGAGGACGACCAGCCUCACUGGGACUGAGACACGGGACAGACUGCUACGGGAGGCAGCAGUGGGGAAUGUGGGACAAUGGGGGAAACCCUGAUCAAGCCAUCCCGCGUGUAUGAGAAGGCCUUCGGGUUGUAAAGUACUUUUGGCAGAGAAGCGGUAUCUGCAGAAUAAGCACCGGCUAACUACGUGCCAGCAGCCGCGGUAAUAC